rnacentral:rRNA from 1 species
ACGUAGGUGGCAAGCGUUGUCCGGAUUUAUUGGGCGUAAAGGGAACGCAGGCGGUCUUUUAAGUCUGAUGUGAAAGCCUUCGGCUUAACCGGAGAUGUGCAUUGGAAACUGGAAGACUUGAGUGCAGAAGAGGAGAGUGGAACUCCAUGUGUAGCGGUGAAAUGCGUAGAUAUAUGGAAGAACACCAGUGGCGAAAGCGGCUCUCUGGUCUGUAACUGACGCUGAGGUUCGAAAGCGUGGGUAGCAAACAGGAUUAGAUACCCUGGUAGUCCACGCCGUAAACGAUGAGUGCUAAGUGUUGGAGGGUUUCCGCCCUUCAGUGCUGCAGCUAACGCAUUAAGCACUCCGCCUGGGGAGUACGACCGCAAGGUUG